rnacentral:rRNA from 1 species
AACGAACGCUGGCGGCAGGCCUAACACAUGCAAGUCGAGCGAGGUCUUCGGUCCUAGCGGCGGACGGGUGAGUAACGCGUGGGAACGUGCCCUUUGCUUCGGAAUAGCCCUGGGAAACUGGGAGUAAUACCGGAUGAGCCCUUUGGGGGAAAGAUUUAUCGGCGAAGGAUCGGCCCGCGUUGGAUUAGGUAGUUGGUGGGGUAAUGGCCUACCAAGCCGACGAUCCAUAGCUGGUUUGAGAGGAUGAUCAGCCACACUGGGACUGAGACACGGCCCAGACUCCUACGGGAGGCAGCAGUGGGGAAUCUUAGACAAUGGGGGAAACCCUGAUCUAGCCAUGCCGCGUGAGCGAUGAAGGCCUUAGGGUUGUAAAGCUCUUUCAGCUGGGAAGAUAAUGACGGUACCAGCAGAAGAAGCCCCGGCUAACUCCGUG